rnacentral:lncRNA from 1 species
CGGGCCAAGCAGCAAGUUGUUUGUUCAGUUUACUAGUACAUUUAAUUUUAAUUGUAACAAUAUUCUACUUGGAUAAAGAAAUCAAUGUCAUUCCUUUCGCUUGUAGGAAAGGGAACUGCAACUUAAUUACCAUAACGGAACAACCAAAUAAAAAUUAUUAGAGAGUGGGAAACCAAUUGUUUAACUUAGGUUACUUUCCAAGAAGGAAAGAGUGUAAA